UCGCAUUGAUCAGCAAUUUACUGCAUAAAAAAGCUCCAUUUUACUUCUGAAAAUUCAAAUUCCAAAAAUCUUUAAAAAAAAACUCGAAAACCUCUCCUUUUCUGAUCACCCACAAGUUUUAAAACAUGGUUUGAAACUAGAUAAUUUUUCUUGGUCUAUGAGGCGAGGUUUCUGGUUUCAGCUGGUUGUUUUGGAGUCUGCAGUUUUGAUUCUUUGGGUUUGCUGAAGCUUUUUGUUCAUUGUUGCUGUUUUAUGCUUCUGAGAUUCCUCUAAUAGUCUCAUCCUCAUUUUGAAAGUUACAUAUGACCCUUUCCUUGUUUGAUUCCUAUGUAAUUGAAACUUAGAUGAAUAUAAGUUGUUUUAUUUUUGUUUGACACCGUUUGUGUAUGUUUGUUCAGUUUUAUAUGCUGAUACUACAAUAGUGCUAUUCUUUCUCUCAGAAUGCAUGAGUUUCUUUACCUAUAGCUUAUGUCAUAAUAUUUAGUUUCUUUGUUAGACCUUAUUAAUAAUUAUCUUAUGCAAUGUAUGCAUUUCUGUUUUUUUUUGUACUAAUUAAAAUUUGUUCAAGCUCCCCUUAUUAAAAUGAUGUUUGUCCUUUGAGCUUGACCCUUACAUGGUCAUGUUCAUGGAUUGAACUUCCCAUUUCCUUACCCUUGAGUCUAUUCUAGUAUUCCACUAAGAC
rnacentral:lncRNA from 1 species